UUAAAUUGAAGAGUUUGAUCAUGGCUCAGAUUGAACGCUGGCGGCAGGCCUAACACAUGCAAGUCGAACGGUAACAGGAAACAGCUUGCUGUUUCGCUGACGAGUGGCGGACGGGUGAGUAA
rnacentral:rRNA from 1 species